CUCCCAUAAUUCUUGAUAGCUCCGAUUUAGGAUUUGGAAGUAUCUGAAGAGUCCCCAGCCAGGCCUGUGCUCCCGAGAAGAUCGCACUGAGAAGGGGACAGGCUGCCAACCCAGAUCUUCUACAAAGCUGUAGAAGUCACACAGGACACAUGGUGUCAAGAGUCAGGUCAAGCACGAUGGCACUCACUACUAAGCCCCAUCCAGUCCUGUGAAAAUGCCUGAAGAGAAGGAACAAGGCACUGCCAGGUCAGUUCCUUGACUGGUGCCUUACAGAGUCCUCCUCGGCUCUUUCUGCUGCAAACAAGUAUGGCUUUGCCUUUCACAGCUGGACACGACAUCACCCGUGGGCCCAGGGAACGGGAGACAGGGCGGCACAGGAGAAGGGCACGGCUAGAGAGACACCUCUGAUGGCUCCAGGAUGACUCUGGAACUGCGAGAUCUCCCUUCGCUUCCUGGUUUUGCCAUAAAAAUUUCAGGGUGAGCUGGGGCUGCUGGCUGGGCCUCAGGCUCUUCAGCCAUGGAAAGGGACACACAGGAGCUUCAGUAGUAUCUAAGGUCCUUGGACAACCUGAACGACAUGGACACAUCAGUCUGCUCUGGCUAGUUUUGGACUGUAAUAUAAUUUCACUCAUUGCCAGACCAGGAGUCGGGCAUCUGCCUGUGCGGUCACGUUUAAAUCUUUGCUUUUAUUCCUCACUGCAACGCUUCAGCAUUAGUUAAAGAUUUGAGAACGACCCCACGUAAUCAUUAUAGUGCAGCACUAAGGGUAAAUUAAUAAAAUGUAAUUGGAAAGAGAUCCAUGUGAGAAAUAAGUAACCCUGAGAGUCAAAUCAUUUUCUUCCCAAAGUGGUUGAGGUGCUCUAAGGAAAAGCAAAACAAAAAACUCCACAACUCCCCAAAGAUUUGUUAACUAAACAGUUGUCCAUUAAAGAG